UACGGAGGGUGCAAACGUUGCUCGGAAUCAUUGGGCGUAAAGCGCACGUAGGCGGCCUGUUAAGUCGGAUGUGAAAGCCCUGGGCUCAACCCAGGAAGUGCAUACGAAACUGGCGGGCUUGAAUAUGGAAGGAGGGUCGCGGAAUUCCCGGUGUAAGAGGUGAAAUUCGUAGAUAUCGGGAGGAACACCAGUGGCGAAGGCGGCGCCUGGGC
rnacentral:rRNA from 1 species